rnacentral:rRNA from 1 species
UGGGGAAUUUUGGACAAUGGGGGAAACCCUGAUCCAGCCAUCCCGCGUGUGCGAUGAAGGCCUUCGGGUUGUAAAGCACUUUUGGCAGGAAAGAAACGUCGCGGGUUAAUACCCCGCGAAACUGACGGUACCUGCAGAAUAAGCACCGGCUAACUACGUGCCAGCAGCCGCGGUAAUACGUAGGGUGCAAGCGUUAAUCGGAAUUACUGGGCGUAAAGCGUGCGCAGGCGGUUCGGAAAGAAAGAUGUGAAAUCCCAGAGCUUAACUUUGGAACUGCAUUUUUGAACUACCGGGCUAGAGUGUGUCAGAGGGAGGUGGAAUUCCGCGUGUAGCAGUGAAAUGCGUAGAUAUGCGGAGGAACACCGAUGGCGAAGGCAGCCUCCUGGGAUAACACUGACGCUCAUGCACGAAAGCG